CCUACGGGUGGCAGCAGUGGGGAAUAUUGGACAAUGGGGGAAACCCUGAUCCAGCAAUGCCGCGUGUGUGAAGAAGGCCUUCGGGUUGUAAAGCACUUUAGGUUGGGAAGCGGUACCGACAGAAUAAGCACCGGCUAACUCUGUGCCAGCAGCCGCGGUAAUACAGAGGGUGCGAGCGUUAAUCGGAAUUACUGGGCGUAAAGGGCGCGUAGGUGGUUGUUUAAGUUGGAUGUGAAAUCCCUGGGCUUAACCUAGGAACUGCAUUCAAUACUGAACGGCUAGAGUAUGGUAGAGGGUAGUGGAAUUUCCGGUGUAGCGGUGAAAUGCGUAGAUAUCGGAAGGAACACCAGUGGCGAAGGCGGCUACCUGGCUAUACUGACACUGAGGCGCGAAAGCGUGGGGAGCAAACAGGAUUAGAUACCCCAGUAGUC
rnacentral:rRNA from 1 species